ensembl:snoRNA
ACCUUCUUGUAUAAGCACUGUGCUAAAAUUGCAGAAGCUAGGAUCAUAUCUUGGUUUUUGCAAUAAUGCUAGCAGAGUACACACAAGAAGAAAAUUAACUGCACUGUAUCCUAAAAAGACUGGGGUGGACCUCUUUCUUAAUGUCCAGUGUCCUUUGUCUUAAGAUUUGGUGCAACAUAU